GUUGAAGAAAUUGCAAUCUCAUAAGAGGAAGCUUGAUAAGAAAUUGAAAUCGGUGAAGAUCUGGAGGAGAGUGUCGAAUGUUUUAUUUGUGUCCGUUUUUGUCACCGUGAUGAUUUUUGCGGUUGCAGCAGCUGCCAUUGCUGCACCACCUGUUGUAACUGCUUUGGCCAGUGCUCUGGCUGACCCAAUGCGCUCGGUGGGAACGUGGUGUAACUUGCUUUGGCAUCGGUAUGAGAACGCGUUGAAGGAGCAGAAGGUGUUGGUGAACGCAAUUCAGGUUGGAACUUUCAUUACAAUCAAGGACAUGGAGAGUAUACGGGUGCUUGUCAACAAAUUGGAAAUGGAAAUCAAGUCCCUCUUGCACCAUGCUGACUUUGCUAUCAGAGAAGUAGAUGUUGUGAAACUUGUGAUAGAUGAGAUCAAGAAGAAGAUGGCAGUGUUCACGGAAACUUUUGAGGAUUUAGCUGCCCAAGCUCAUAGGUGUAACCAUGACAUAAUCCUAGGAAGGACUAUGAUUUCAAAGAGGAUAAUCGAAUUUGCAGGCAAGUGAAGAAUUCCUUUGGUAUUAUUAUGCCAAUGACUUCCCAACUUGCUUAUCAUACAUGGAUUCCCAUCAUCAGAAAAAGUGACACUUGACAUCUUGGGUUCAUUGAUUUGGAUUCAGCCUAGAAAACCGUAAUUUUGUGCGGAAAAAGAUUGACAAACAAAAAAUCAUACAAACUGGUAUGAUAAGUGGUGAUCAGUGGGUCUCAAAAACAUGAAAUGAUUGAUCGAUCAAGGAAAAAACAACGGGCACAUCGGUUUGUAUAAAAUAUUCGAGUAGUUUGCUUUUUUCUGUAGGAUUUGUCUACAUAUUUUCUCAAUAGGUUCCAUUAGGUUUGUGUGCAAGAUUAUUGCGGAAGUCAGCAGCACUAGAUAUUCUGAUGUUGUUCAAUUGCUGUAUCAUAUAUAUGACUGUAACAACUUUAAUUUAGUUGAUCACAUUCAUCAGCUAUCAAAAGAUGUUCGAAAAAGCCUAGCAGCCUUGUUAAUAGCCUGCUUUAAUUAAAUUCUGCAUAACUUGUGGCCUCAGUGGAGGAAAACAAAGACAACAUAGUGUAUCAGAUAUAAAAGAAUUUCCCUUGUCUUUUCUUAUGGGGAAACAUUUUCAAAGAAUUAUUAUGGUCGAAGACAGAAAACUAAGGCUAGGAUAAGAAUUGCCGCUGAACUCUUUUUUUUUUUUGGAUUCAAAGAAACCACACCUCCCGGAAAACGCACUUUGUGGGCCCAGGUGAGAGAGUAAAAUCCUGGCUGUCCCAGGCUUUUACAAGAGGUGCACGUCCUGACUCGAACUCGAGACUUGCUGUGCAGAUCUCAAAUAUUUUGCCAUCACGCUACGUCCCUUGAGGACGAGAACUCGCUUCUUGCUUAAAGAAAGAAGAAAGCAGGAAAAGGAUGAACAAGUGAUUGUGUCGUGUUCUUUCCUCCGAACAUUUGCUAAAAGCAAAAACAUAAAAAUAAAAGAGAUAAUGAGAUUCAUAAUUACUAAAAAUGAUAAGAAUAUCUUUAUCCAAGAUUUUUCUCUAACUUAUCUCCAUUUUUAUCUUUAAAGCGGAUAUUGAAAGUAACUAUUAGUUACUAUCAAAGCACUAUAAAUUUCUCCUAGAGUGUUAGGCUUGGAUAAUGAAAACAUCUGUAUAAUAAAUUAUUUUUAUGGGUUUAAAUACUUAGAGAAAAGAAGUCUAAUGAGAUUGUGUGAUGUGUGUGCUACAUAACUCAAGGAAGAAUAUAUAGUUUUUGCAUGAAGGAUAAUAUUGUAAAAAAGAAUAUUUUCUUACAUCAGGAUUCAAAGUUUUUAUAUAGUUUUGAACUCAUGUGAGUGUAUUAUUCAUGUAAAGAUAAGGAGAUCAACGGGCUUGUCAUUAGAAUUUUAGUCUACAUGGGAAAAAAAAUGUCUAGAGUGACAAUGAAUCUCUACAAAAACUAUAAAAUUUCUCCUAGAGUGUGCUGUUAUUGAUGAUAGUAGAACCAAUCUUCGGUAAACAAAUGCCAAAGACACAUACUUUUAUUUAAUGUAUGCACGCUUGAUCCCCGUGGUUAGUGAAAAAUGAACCAGAUUUAACUCGUGGAUAAUAUAUAUGGAGGCAGUAGUUGACAUCGGAGUGCAUGCCUCUACUCAUCCAAGAUUGGGACUAUAUGGUAUUAUAAUAAAUCUUUUACCAAAGAUGUGGACUUGUUGAGUCAUUAGGGUUUCUAAAAGAGACUAUCCGCGAUGAAUUAGUUUUUGCAGGUCAUUUUCAAAGUGUUUUUUAUUUGGAAAUGUAUCAAAAUGAUAUUUUUUUAUUUUUUAAAAAAUUAUUUUUGAUAUUAGCUUAUCAAAAUGAUCAAAAAAUAUUAAUUUAAAGCAAAGAAAAAAAUAAAAAAUUUUCAAAUUUUUUCAAAAACGCUUUUGAAGUGCAAAAACAAACAGGGUCUUAAAAGAAGUGACCUUUCCAAGAAUAAAGUUAGGAAUGUUCGUCGGCAUGAAAAUGUCGUUCCCACGAUAAGUUGGUAGAUAGUAGAAGUGAGGAAUUGUUUUUAGGGAUCUUAAUUAUAUAUAAAAAAAAUAACAAAUGAUAGGAAGCAUAGUUUUAAAACCCGGACCGGCCCGGCAGGUCGACUCGGGACCCGGCCAACCCAGGCCCGGGACCGGUUCAGGUCUAAGUAAAAAUCUGCCGAGGAGUUGGCCCGGCGAAACGCGGCGGGUCGACCCGGAACCCGGGUGACCCAGGCAAACCUGGCUGAGACCCGACCUCUUUUUUUUUUUUUAUAUAUAUAUAUAUAUACAUAGCCGGAAAUGACGUCGUUCGUUUUGGCCUUUUAAAAUGUCAAAAGUUUUGACUCAAAACGAUGUAGAUGAAGGAUGCAAAAUUGCAGACAGAGACAACAAGAAAAAUCAAUUUCAAUCGCAUAACUCUUGUGCCCGUAAUACACCUCCACCCCAAACACGGCAUCCCCUUCGUAGUGAUCCCUACUUGUUCCUGUAGAUUCCAUUGAAGACAACAUCCCCGGUUUUGAUCAGAUCCUGCAUCAAGACAUGAUUGGAAAAGCCCCUCUUCAAAGUUCCGUACGUGAAUAUCAGUGUUGUUGUUGAUGCACGAUUGCUGUUGUUUUCUAUUUCGAUGCCCAUGUGUUUUCUCUCUCUCUCUCUCUUUAAGAUUUUCUUUUCCUCUUUAUCUUCUAUUCUCAAUUUAAAGAGAAUGCCUUUUUGUGGUUGAUUAAAAGAGAAUGUCUAUUUGUGGUUGGAAAGUUGGAAAGCAAAUUGACGAGAGAGAGAUAAGAGAGGGAAAUUGUAUUUAUUGAAGUUUUUAUUUGAUUUUUUUUGGGUUGACCCGGGUUAAUUCAUCUGACUUGUGACCCGAUUAUUAGAUCAGGUCGAUCAUCGGGUCGGGUUUCAAAACUAUAAUAGAAAGAGAAAAAGACUUCCCCCACUGGUGUCAGAAGAAUAUAAACCACGGGAAAAUUCUCCAACGAGUAGAAGGGAAUUGGGCUGGUAAAAGAUGAUAAAUUUCUAGAAAAUCACACACUAAAGACGAAAAUAGAAUAUGGAAUUUGGCUUCUAAUGAGUCCUCAUAAAUACCAAUCUGGUUUGGUCGAAUACUCGAUCGAAAUAACCUUGAAACUGGGCAAACCAAAACGUAGUAAAUAAGAGAUCGAUAUUAAAAAAAAAAAAAAACAAAAAAGAUAUUGACUAUGCGCAAGAGUUGAUGAACAAGAGAGACCUGGUUGGCCGAAAGUUGUGCUGGAUAGGGUGCAUAUAUAGAUCAUUUCAGGUUGAUUUUCCUUUGCAUUUGAUUGACUAGGAGAGACUGAAGUCUUUGAUCAAUUAGGGAAACAAGGUGCAGAAGAAUUUGAGGGAGCUCGUAAAAUAUGAGACAGGCUCCACAUAUAAAGGAAUGCUAUCCAGGUUUUCAAAUUCAUUAUCUAGAGUUGUGGGGGAUGGGAGAUUUAAGGAUUAAAAUAAUGGUAUGGGUAAAGUGUUUGGUGCUGAGGUUGGAAAAUGCUUAAAAAAAAUUUUGAAAAUUUUUUAUUUUAUUUUUUUACUUUAAAUCAAUACAUUUUUUAUAUUUUCAGAUUAUUUUGACAUGCUAAUGUCAAAAAUAAAUUUUUAAAAAUAAAAAAAACAAUAUUUUAUUGUGUUUUGGAAUAAAAAACACUUUAAAAAGCAACUGUUACCACACUUCCCAACAAAAAUAAAUAAACAAAAAUGAGAAUUAAUUAAGGUAACAACAACGAAAAUAAUAAUAAGAAAAAGUAGCAAUUUACGAAAUAGUGAAAAUAAUUGAUAGGGAGAUGAUUAUAUUUUAUAACAAGAAAAUACAAAUAAAAGAUGAUAAUUGGAAUACUGAAAAAGGACGAUGUAUGAAAUAUUACUCUAAGACAAGUAGUGAAUAUUCAUGAUAUAUAAAAAGGAAAGUACGAUGAUCAAUGGCGAAAAUAAUAAUAAAAUAGAAGAGAGGCAAUGAUAAUCAAUUUUAGCAGUUUUGUUUUCUUAUUACCAAGAAACUCGUCUCCAUAUCCAUGUUUUUUUGGUUUUUUUUUUUUUUUUUAAUUUUAAUAUGCUGAUAAAUGUUAUUAAUUUUUUUUUUAAAGAUGACACCUUGAUAAGCAUGUUUGUUUUUUAGUAAAAAAACUUUUUAUUUUUUGUUUUAAAUUAAUUUUUUAAUCAUUUAAUAUGUUGGUGUCAAAAAUAAAUUUUAAAAAUAAAAGAAUAUUAUUAUUUUAAUGUAUUCUCAAGUAAAAAAUAUUUUUAAAAAUAAUAAUUAUUAUAAUUUUAAAUAUUAUUAAAAUUAAAAAAAUAAUAAUAAUAAUUGAAAAAAUAGGAUCUUUCAUUUGACAUUUUAAAAUAAGAGUCCAUUGACCCAACCUGUAUUUUCCUCCCAACCACGGUAUCAUCAGCAUCUUCUAAUUUGUUCACACUAAAAUAAUCAACAAUCAUUGUGCUGUUAAUAGCUUAACAAUCUUGACACAGUGAACCUGUCGCGGGUUUUGUUUCUGAAUAUUAUGCAAGUUAAUUAAAAUCGUGAAUUUACUUUUAAAAUCUUAUAAUUUUACGAGUCAACAUGUAUAUAUCGUGUUAAAUCGGGUUAAAACUCGAAAUCGGUCAAACUCAGUCAAAAUCGGUCAAACUCGGUUAAAAUCGGUCAAACUCGGACCGAUUUUACGAGUUUGACCGAUUUCGAGUUUUAACCUGCAAAAGUUAAAAAAUUUACUGCCUCCCUGUCCGAGUCCCCUGACACUCCACUACAUAGUCUCCACUCUCCAAUCUCCCCUUUCCUCGUUGCUCAAAUUUUAAAUUUUCAAUCUUAGCAGACUAACACCAGCAUUAGAGGAUCUUAGGUAUGGGAAAGCCUUAUACUGUAUUUUAGGCCGGGAAGACAUGAUCGGAGGAUCGAAACCAUGGGAAGACAGAGGUAGAUGGUGAGGAAUCAAAUGAGUAAAAUAAGAGAUAUGAAUACUUAUAUAAAGAGAAAUACUGUGUUUUAGACUAAUCAUUUGUUAACUACAAAGACUCAGAGAGAACUUGAAAUACAUGUCUUGCUUGGUGGGAUAUUUGGACAUUAUUUCUAGGACUUGUUACUAACAUAAAAAAGGUGGAAGGUAAGGUGGCAUGAGAUUAAAUUGAUGUCAUUUUGUACAUUUUUGUUCUCGUUGUCACGGGUUCACUGUAUUGGUCUCUGUUAAUUUUUUUUUAAAAGUUGGUGAUAUACCUUAGAACGUUGUAUCAUCUCACUAGUUGUCUGCAGUGUGUUUCAAGACCUGUCCUCUAGAAAAUGUUCUGAAACUCUAUCAAUAAAACAUAGUUGUUCAAUCUUAUUUUUUUUUCUCGUAAUUUUAAGUUAUUUAAACCAUUUAUGAAUUUUUAUUUGAAUUAUGUAUUUUAAGGUGUUUGGACAUUUGUAUUGUUUAUUUCACUUUUAUUUUAAUUGUGUUAUAUUAUUAUUUACUACUUGACUGAAAUUGUCAAUAUAUAAUUAGUUAAAAUAUUUUUCUUGUGAUUUUACGAUUUUACGAUUUGAGUUUACAAUCCGAGUUUAUAUUGUAUAUUUUGUGUCGUGUCAAAAAAGCGUUUUUGACAACCUUGAUAUUAUGUUUUAAAAUGUUUUUUUUUUGAAUUAAAUUAAAAUGAUUUUUUUUAUUUUUUAAAAUUAAUUUUUGAUAUUAAUAUAUAAAAACAAUUCAAACACAUUAAAAAAAUUAAUUUAAAAUAAAUAAAUAAAUAAAUUUUAAACAAACAUUGUUUUAGCAGUUAAAAACUUAGCCAGGACCGGUUUAUCGCUUUGUUAACGAUAACUAAACACUCUAACGGUUAUUAUCUAAGCCACAAAGGGAAUAUAUAGUGGCAUCGACCCAGCCAUUGGCCCCGUCCCCGCCCGUCCAUUUUCAAAUUGACAUAUCUUGGUUUGUCUUAUUUCCGUAUCAGCUUUCUUUUAUUCUGUUUAAAAGUGUUAUUUAGAUUAUAUUUUAAAUUUUUUUUAUUUAAAAAUAUAUUAAAAUAAUAUUUUUUUUUAUUUUUUUUAAUAUUAGUACAUUAAAAUAUUUAAAAACACAAAAAAUAUAUUAAUUUAAAAUAAAAAAAAUAAAAAAAAUUUAAUUUUUUUAAAAUUACUUUUAAAAUAUAAAAACAAACAUAAGAAUUUUCCAUCGGAUCAAAGCAGCUGCUGUUCACAAAUAAUGAUAAUAAUAAUAAUAAUAAUCGUAAAGUAUUGGCAAGAAAAAACCACUUCCAUACGCGUCGUUGAAUCUUCCAGCUCUGGAGAAACCUGCGGUUGUGUCCUCUUUGAGGACAGUUAUGUGUCUUUCAGUACAUUUCCUUGCAUUUUCUCUUUACUUCCGGUCUUUCACUCGUCAUAAGACUGCCUCAAAUCCUCCUCUCUUCUAAUCACGUCGCUUAUAAAAACCUCUUUCUCAAAAAUCUAUUGUCCAACAUACACAAAAACCUUUUUUCGGACCACAAGAUCUUAGCGUUUUGUUCUUCCUAUAGCGAGAGGAAGUAAUUACUCGUACCUUUUCAUUUUCAGGUGAAUUUUUCAGGUAGUUGAAGCUCAAAAGAUACAAGGACUAUAAUGUAAGCUGACUAGUGCCCCCAAAGCCUACUUUAUGAAUUUCUCUCUGUUUUUUUUUUUUUUCAGGUCCUUGAAUUCAUUUACUCUUAAUCUGUAGUCAAGUGAAAGAUUGAUUCUGGGUUCUAGAUAUCAGAUCAAAAGUUUGUUAAUUUGGGUGUUUUCUUAUUCCAUAAGCGUGUCUUGUUUCAGUUUUGGAUGAUUUUGUCAGUUAACUGGAUUUCUUGAGUUCUGUGACUCAACUUGAUUGCUUAGUAUUGCUUAAAUUUGAUAUUUUUAUUGUUAGAAAGCAUUUGAAGUGAAAAAAGAUCUCAUCUUUUUCUUACUUUGAGUUUUCUUUUACUUUUGUCAGUUUUCAUUUGGAUAUGACGGGAGGUGAUCAAUCUUGCAAGACUAGAGGUGGUAAUAUCCCACCACCACCUGUUGAAAGCAGCACUCAUUCCCAAUUCGCGGAAGAUUUUAGCUCCUACGAGGAUGCUUGUAAGCUAGAUCCAUGCUUGCAAUCCUUUGAUGCCACCCUCAUGGAGAAGACUAACCAUGUCAUAAACUCACUUAGCACUGGUGAUAUUGCCACGGGAUCCUCAGGCUCAUUCAAAGCGGUCACUAAUUGCCUUCUUGAAAUGAACCAAGAUGUGGUUAAAUUCAUACUAGAAAGCAAAGAAGAUAUCUGGAAUAAUCCAGAAUUGUUUGCUUUGGUUGAUGAAUACUUCGGGAGUAGCAUCAAAACUAUGGAUUUCUGCACUGAACUAGAAAGUUGUGUCACAAGUGCUCGAACUAGCCAGUUGAAUAUAAUGGCUGCCAUUGCGCAUUUUGAGAAGGAAGUGGAAUUGCAAGAUGGGGUGAUUGAGAAGAAGUACGUCAAGACAUUAGAAGAAUUACAGAAAUUUAUGGUUGCAGGGGAUCCAUUUACCCCCAAAUUCUUUAUGCUGUUGCAAUCGGUUUAUGAACAGCAGGUCUCCAUGUUGAAGAAAUUGCAAUCUCAUAAGAGGAAGCUUGAUAAGAAAUUGAAAUCGGUGAAGAUCUGGAGGAGAGUGUCGAAUGUUUUAUUUGUGUCCGUUUUUGUCACCGUGAUGAUUUUUGCAGUUGCAGCAGCUGCCAUUGCUGCACCACCUGUUGUAACUUCUUUGGCCAGUGCCCUGGCUGACCCAAUGCGCUCGGUGGGAACGUGGUGUAACUUGCUUUGGCAUCGGUAUGAGAACGCGUUGAAGGAGCAGAAGGUGUUGGUGAACGCAAUUCAGGUUGGAAC
rnacentral:lncRNA from 1 species